UUGAUUAAGAGUUUGAUCCUGGCUCAGGACGAACGCUGGCGGCACGCUUAACACAUGCAAGUCGAACGAGAGAAGAUAAGCUUGCUUUUCUGAUCUAGUGGCGGACGGGUGAGUAACACGUGAGCAAUCUGCCUUUCAGAGGGGGAUACCGAUUGGAAACGAUCGUUAAUACCGCAUAACAUAAUUGAACCGCAUGAUUUGAUUAUCAAAGAUUUAUCGCUGAAAGAUGAGCUCGCGUCUGAUUAGCUAGUUGGUAAGGUAACGGCUUACCAAGGCGACGAUCAGUAGCCGGACUGAGAGGUUGAUCGGCCACAUUGGGACUGAGACACGGCCCAGACUCCUACGGGAGGCAGCAGUGGGGAAUAUUGCACAAUGGAGGAAACUCUGAUGCAGCGAUGCCGCGUGAGGGAAGAAGGUUUUAGGAUUGUAAACCUCUGUCUUCAGGGACGAAAAAUGACGGUACCUGAGGAGGAAGCUCCGGCUAACUACGUGCCAGCAGCCGCGGUAAUACGUAGGGAGCGAGCGUUGUCCGGAAUUACUGGGUGUAAAGGGAGCGUAGGCGGGAUCGCAAGUCAGAUGUGAAAACUAUGGGCUUAACCCAUAAACUGCAUUUGAAACUGUGGUUCUUGAGUGAAGUAGAGGUAAGCGGAAUUCCUAGUGUAGCGGUGAAAUGCGUAGAUAUUAGGAGGAACAUCAGUGGCGAAGGCGGCUUACUGGGCUUUAACUGACGCUGAGGCUCGAAAGCGUGGGGAGCAAACAGGAUUAGAUACCCUGGUAGUCCACGCCGUAAACGAUGAUUACUAGGUGUGGGGGGACUGACCCCUUCCGUGCCGCAGCAAACGCAAUAAGUAAUCCACCUGGGGAGUACGACCGCAAGGUUGAAACUCAAAGGAAUUGACGGGGGCCCGCACAAGCAGUGGAGUAUGUGGAUUAAUUCGAAGCAACGCGAAGAACCUUACCAGGUCUUGACAUCGUAUGCAUAGCUCAGAGAUGAGUGAAAUCUCUUCGGAGACAUAUAGACAGGUGGUGCAUGGUUGUCGUCAGCUCGUGUCGUGAGAUGUUGGGUUAAGUCCCGCAACGAGCGCAACCCUUACUGUUAGUUGCUACGCAAGAGCACUCUAGCAGGACUGCCGUUGACAAAACGGAGGAAGGUGGGGAUGACGUCAAAUCAUCAUGCCCCUUAUGACCUGGGCCUCACACGUACUACAAUGGCUGUUAACAGAGGGAUGCAAAGCCGCGAGGUGGAGCGAACCCCUAAAAGCAGUCUUAGUUCGGAUUGUAGGCUGCAACCCGCCUACAUGAAGUCGGAAUUGCUAGUAAUCGCAGAUCAGCAUGCUGCGGUGAAUACGUUCCCGGGCCUUGUACACACCGCCCGUCACGCCAUGGGAGUCGGUAACACCCGAAGCCUGUAGUCUAACCGCAAGGAGGACGCAGUCGAAGGUGGGAUUGAUGACUGGGGUGAAGUCGUAACAAGGUAGCCGUAUCGGAAGGUGCGGCUGGAUCACCUCCUUU
rnacentral:rRNA from 1 species